GUAUAUCUUCAGUAGUUUUUUCCUACACACAAACUUUCAAUUAAACACCAGAGAAAUCAUUGUCCACAGAUAAGCACAUGCACAUUUGCGCGCACACACACACACAGAAAUUCAAAGCAAAAUAGAGAACAUAUUUUCCAUGAUUAUUGUUAUGGAUAUUAUCUUGAUAGAGAAUAUUAUCUUCAUAAGAGUCUUGUAUGGUAAGGUUAUCUCAUAAGGAUUCCUAUUAAUAUAGGUUUCCUAAUUAGUGUAGAAUUCCUAAUAUGUAGAAAUCCUAAUUAGUGUAGGACAAUUUUGUAUAUAUAUAUACCUAUGUAUAUACUCAAUUAAAUCAAGGAAAUAGAUACAUUCAAUUACAUGGUAUCAGAGCCUAAUUUAUUUUUAGGUUUUCUGCAUUUUUCUCUCCCUUUCCUAUUUGAGAAGUUAUUGCCACACUAAGUCACCAACGUAGGGUGACUGUUUUAUCUCAUCGCUGACUCAGGAAGGAGGACAAGUCGCCGGUAACCCUCCCCACAAAGUCCGGUGACUGGAUCUGAAGUGCGUGACCCGCACUCACCAAAACUGCCUUUCGCCCAUACCUCAUGCGCCGGCGCGUGGAAGCGUGUCCGCUGGCCUUUGCCUCUUCGGCCUCUUCUCCGAGCAUCGCCCUGACAUCCUCGGUUCAGCCAAGGAGAUUGCUGUUUGGUUUGGGGUAUUCUUCGAGGUGUUCUGGAGUUAUGAAUCUUUGCUUCUUCUGACAGUUAUCAAAUCCAGGUUCUAUUUCUGUAACUUCUGGGUAUUGAUUGAGUUGAUUUGCCAUGCUAAAGUUUGGGUAGUAAUUUUGAGUUCUAGAGAUUGUGGAUAUUUGAUUUUAUGAAUUUAUUGAAAUGGCGGACAAUAAAGCUAUUGUUUCUGGUGUGGUUCCAAUAAUGACAAAAAUCACUAAACAUAAACUUAAUGGUUCAAAUUAUCUGGAGUGGAGUAAGAUUGUUAGGGUCUAUUUUCGAAGUAUUGAUAAGGAUGAUCACCUGAUUAAUGACUCACCCACUGAUGAUACAAGGCAAGCUUGGCUUAGGGAAGAUGCUCGGUUGUUUUUGCAACUUCAAAAUUCGAUUCAUAGUGAGGUAAUCAGUUUAAUUAAUCACUGUAAAUUUGUUAAGGAAUUGAUGGAUUUCUUAGAUUUUCUGUAUUCUGGUAA
rnacentral:misc_RNA from 1 species